AAACCAACAGGGAUUACCUUAGUAACGGCGAGUGAAGCGGUAACAGCUCAAAUUUGAAAUCUGGGUCUUUUAGGCUCCGAGUUGUAAUUUGUAGAAGAUGCUUUGGGUGCGGCCCCGGUCUAAGUUCCUUGGAACAGGACGUCAUAGAGGGUGAGAAUCCCGUAUGUGAUCGGUGGCUUGCGCCCGUGUAAAGCUCUUUCGACGAGUCGGGUUGUUUGGGAAUGCAGCUCUAAAUGGGUGGUAAAUUUCAUCUAAAGCUAAAUAUUGGCCAGAGACCGAUAGCGCACAAGUAGAGUGAUCGAAAGAUGAAAAGCACUUUGGAAAGAGAGUUAAACAGUACGUGAAAUUGUUGAAAGGGAAGCGCUUGCAACCAGACUUGCGCGGGGUUGAUCAUCCGGGGUUCUCCCCGGUGCACUCGGCCUCGCUCAGGCCAGCAUCGGUUUUGGUGGUUGGAUAAAGGCCUUGGGAAUGUGACUUCUUUCGGGGAGUGUUAUAGCCCUCGGUGCAAUGCAGCCUACCGGGACCGAGGACCGCGCUUCGGCUAGGAUGCUGGCGUAAUGGUUGUAAGCGAC
rnacentral:rRNA from 1 species